rnacentral:rRNA from 1 species
GAUCCUGGCUCAGAUUGAACGCUGGCGGCAGGCCUAACACAUGCAAGUCGAGCGGCAGCACGGGUACUUGUACCUGGUGGCGAGCGGCGGACGGGUGAGUAAUGCCUAGGAAUCUGCCUGGUAGUGGGGGAUAACGCUCGGAAACGGACGCUAAUACCGCAUACGUCCUACGGGAGAAAGCAGGGGACCUUCGGGCCUUGCGCUAUCAGAUGAGCCUAGGUCGGAUUAGCUAGUUGGUGAGGUAAUGGCUCACCAAGGCGACGAUCCGUAACUGGUCUGAGAGGAUGAUCAGUCACACUGGAACUGAGACACGGUCCAGACUCCUACGGGAGGCAGCAGUGGGGAAUAUUGGACAAUGGGCGAAAGCCUGAUCCAGCCAUGCCGCGUGUGUGAAGAAGGUCUUCGGAUUGUAAAGCACUUUAAGUUGGGAGGAAGGGCAUUUACCUAAUACGUAAGUGUUUUGACGUUACCGACAGAAUAAGCACCGGCUAACUCUGUGCCAGCAGCCGCGGUAAUACAGAGGGUGCAAGCGUUAAUCGGAAUUACUGGGCGUAAAGCGCGCGUAGGUGGUUCGUUAAGUUGGAUGUGAAAUCCCCGGGCUCAACCUGGGAACUGCAUUCAAAACUGACGAGCUAGAGUAUGGUAGAGGGUGGUGGAAUUUCCUGUGUAGCGGUGAAAUGCGUAGAUAUAGGAAGGAACACCAGUGGCGAAGGCGACCACCUGGACUGAUACUGACACUGAGGUGCGAAAGCGUGGGGAGCAAACAGGAUUAGAUACCCUGGUAGUCCACGCCGUAAACGAUGUCAACUAGCCGUUGGGAGCCUUGAGCUCUUAGUGGCGCAGCUAACGCAUUAAGUUGACCGCCUGGGGAGUACGGCCGCAAGGUUAAAACUCAAAUGAAUUGACGGGGG